AUGUGUUGUAAUGCUGCUUGGUUCCUGCUGUGCGCCCUGCAGAGCAGUGUUUGGGAAUUCCUGCUUUCAGGAGAGGAUUUGCAGAUCUAGAUUCUGUAGUGGAAAGGAAUCACUGUUAGUUACAACUCAGCUGAGGGGUAAAAGGAUUGCUUAGAUAUGACUCAUAUGAUGGAAAGAGCUAUUGAGAAAUAUAACCUUUUUGCUGUGUGAACUGGAAACACUGAUAUGCUGGUAUAAUUUCUUCUUCUUGCUUAGUCUGGAUUAUGCCAUGAAAGAAAGAGGGAAAGAAAGAGAGAAAGAAAGAAAGAAAGAGAGGAACCAUGAUACUGCCUUUAAAUAACUUUAAGCACCUAUUGGACUUGGAAAGUACAGCACAAUAAAAACCGAAUAGAGCUCUAAGUGCCUGAACCCACAUAUUGGUCACAAAUGACAAUGCUUACAAAGCAAAAAUGCUUCUUUGACAAAGAAGUGCAGUCAUGUGUGGGAUAACAUGAAAAGAUAUCUCCCUGAAGACAAUAAUACUUCUUACAAGAUGAAUUUUGAAAACUUUAGACUAUAAACUCAACAUUUAAUUUCCAUAAUAGGCAUAGCAGAUGAAAGAUUCUCCUCUGUCCCCCAGCAGCAUUCCCAAAGGUUCUUCUCUUGAUGGCAAUCCAGACAGGACUAUCUUCACAUAAUUAGAUGCUCCUGAGUUGUGUCCAUCUUAGGAUCUUAGUUUUUUCCAGCUUGCCUGCGAACAGACAGCUUCAGUGGAUGCUGUAACUUUUUGACUCAUGAGUGUCAGUCAGCCUGAUGAUCAGGUUAGUCCCUCUGGCUACUUGCACAAUGUUUUAGGACCACAUAAAUCAAACUGGCAGUUUCUGGCCAUCUGCUUACAUGAAUUAAGGUGUGUGUGUCCAACCACACUGUGAUUAAUAAUGAGGAUUAUCUUGGACAUGGUCUCAGCAGCUGCUGCAUUUACCACCAGUGAAGAACUGUACAUUAAGUGAACAUGUACCCUCC